rnacentral:rRNA from 1 species
CGUAGGUGGCAAGCGUUGUCCGGAAUUAUUGGGCGUAAAGCGCGCGCAGGCGGUCCUUUAAGUCUGAUGUGAAAGCCCACGGCUCAACCGUGGAGGGUCAUUGGAAACUGGAGGACUUGAGUGCAGAAGAGGAAAGUGGAAUUCCAUGUGUAGCGGUGAAAUGCGUAGAGAUGUGGAGGAACACCAGUGGCGAAGGCGACUUUCUGGUCUGUAACUGACGCUGAGGCGCGAAAGCGUGGGAGCAAACAGGAUU